rnacentral:rRNA from 1 species
UUUAUGGAGAGUUUGAUCCUGGCUCAGGAUGAACGCUGGCGGCGUGCCUAAUACAUGCAAGUCGAGCGAACAGAUAAGGAGCUUGCUCCUUUGACGUUAGCGGCGGACGGGUGAGUAACACGUGGGUAACCUACCUAUAAGACUGGAAUAACUCCGGGAAACCGGGGCUAAUGCCGGAUAACAUGUUGAACCGCAUGGUUCUACAGUGAAAGACGGUCUUGCUGUCACUUAUAGAUGGACCCGCGCCGUAUUAGCUAGUUGGUGGGGU